rnacentral:rRNA from 1 species
UAAUAGCACGGCUAGAAUUGUAUCUGUUACUCUUUUGUAUAAGGGGAAGUAGUAGGCCGGAUAAGUCUCUUUGGAAAUCCAGCAGCACAAUUGUUGGGCUUUCAGGAGAUAGAGAUCGUCUCGAAGCCGGGAGAGGUAAGAGAUACUUCAGGGGUAGGGAUGAAAUAAAUUAUUCCUUGAAGGACCACCAGCGGGGAAGGCGUCUCACCUGAGCGGACCUGACGGCACGGGACGAAAGCUAGGGGCACGGACCGGAUUAGAUACCCGGGUAGUCCUAGCCGUAAACGAUACUCCCUAGGUGUCGUCCACGGUGCGACCGUUGUCGGUGCCGUAGGGAAGCCGUGAAGCGAGCCACCUCGGAAGAACGGCCGCAAGGCAGAAAAAUAAAGGAAUAGGCGGGGGAGCACCCCAACGGGUGGAGCUUGCGGUUUAUUUGGAUUCAACGCCGGAAAUCUUACCGGGCCGUCAGCUUUGUAAGGCCAGGGGAUGACUUUCCGGAUUAGCUGAGAGGGGGCAUGCCGUCGUCAGUCUUGCCGGAUAUUAAAUAAAUANNA